CGGUACGCGUCUGACGCGGUUUUUUUUAAUUCGCCAUCUUCUUUUACGUUUGAAAAAAGAACGACGAAUUUUUUUCAUAGUGUGCGAAAUUUUUGUGCUUCAGUAUAAUUAAUUGGAUGCCUCUUUUUUGGAUAUAAUUGAUAUUCGUGAGGCUACAUCCGAGUAGAUUACACGAGUGAAUGAGACGAAAUAGUGACAAAAUGCAAAAGUGUCGCACGUGCAAGUGAGUUAGUGUUAAAGUGUCAGACAAUGUUUGUGUUCAAAAUAUUGUGGGUGCUGCUGGCGAGCUUCGCCGUGAGGCAUGUCUUGGGUUGUAACUUCUACCCGGUGGGAGAAUACCUGAAGUUCGUGAGGAUACCAGAAAACCUGAAAGUUGG